AACGAACGCUGGCGGCAGGCCUAACACAUGCAAGUCGAACGAAGUCUUCGGACUUAGUGGCGGACGGGUGAGAAACACGUGGGAACGUGCCUUUAGGUUCGGAAUAACUCAGGGAAACUUGUGCUAAUACCGAAUGUGCCCUUCGGGGGAAAGAUUUAUCGCCUUUAGAGCGGCCCGCGUCUGAUUAGCUAGUUGGUGAGGUAAAGGCUCACCAAGGCUACGAUCAGUAGCUGGUCUGAGAGGAUGACCAGCCACAUUGGGACUGAGACACGGCCCAAACUCCUACGGGAGGCAGCAGUGGGGAAUCUUGCGCAAUGGGCGAAAGCCUGACGCAGCCAUGCCGCGUGGAUGAUGAAGGUCUUAGGAUUGUAAAAUCCUUUCACCGGUGAAGAUAAUGACUGUAGCCGGAGAAGAAGCCCCGGCUAACUUCGUGCCAGCAGCCGCCGUAACAC
rnacentral:rRNA from 1 species